GAUGAACGCUAGCUGGAGGCUUAAUACAUGCAAGUCGAGCGGGAUUGGCGCAGCAAUGCGCCAUGAGAGCGGCGCACGGGUGAGUAACGCGUACACGACCUACCUCUAACAGGGGGAUAGCCCUGGGAAACCGGGAUUAAUACCGCAUAUUAUUCUAAUUUAUAAGUGAGUUGGAAUGAAAGCUGAGGCGGUUAGAGAUGGGUGUGCGUCUGAUUAGCUAGUUGGUAGGGUAACGGCCUACCAAGGCGAUGAUCAGUAGGGGGCGUGAGAGCGUGGACCCCCACACGGGUACUGAGACACGGACCCGACUCCUACGGGAGGCAGCAGUAAGGAAUAUUGGACAAUGGCCGCAAGGCUGAUCCAGCCAUCCAGCGUGCAGGAAGAAGGCCCUAUGGGUUGUAAACUGCUUUUGUCAGGGAAUAAACCCUCGUAUUUAUACGGGGCUGAAGGUACCUGAAGAAUAAGCACCGGCUAACUCCGUGCCAGCAGCCGCGGUAAUAC
rnacentral:rRNA from 1 species